rnacentral:rRNA from 1 species
AGGGUUUGAUUCUGGCUCAGGAUGAACGCUGGCGGCGUGCCUAACACAUGCAAGUCGAACGAGGUAAAUAAGAUGAAGUUUUCGGAUGGAUUCUUAUUUGCCGAGUGGCGGACGGGUGAGUAACGCGUGGGUAACCUGCCUCAUACAGGGGGAUAACGAUUGGAAACGAUUGCUAAUACCGCAUAAGCGCACAGUAUCACAUGGUACAGUGUGAAAAACUCCGGUGGUAUGAGAUGGACCCGCGUCUGAUUAGCUAGUUGGUGGGGUAACGGCCCACCAAGGCGACGAUCAGUAGCCGACCUGAGAGGGUGACCGGCCACAUUGGGACUGAGACACGGCCCAG